UACGUAGGGGGCUAGCGUUGUCCGGAAUCAUUGGGCGUAAAGCGCGUGUAGGCGGUUCGGUAAGUCCGCUGUGAAAGUCGGGGGCUCAACCCUCGAAUGCCGGCGGAUACUGUCGGGCUAGAGUCCGGAAGAGGCGAGUGGAAUUCCCGGUGUAGCGGUGAAAUGCGCAGAUAUCGGGAGGAACACCGGUGGCGAAGGCGGUUCUCUGGGCCUGACCUGACGCUGAGGAGCGAAAGCGUGGGGAGCGAACAGG
rnacentral:rRNA from 1 species